GAUGAACGCUGGCGGCGUGCCUAAUACAUGCAAGUCGAGCGAACAGACGAGGAGCUUGCUCCUCUGACGUUAGCGGCGGACGGGUGAGUAACACGUGGAUAACCUACCUAUAAGACUGGGAUAACUUCGGGAAACCGGAGCUAAUACCGGAUAAUAUAUUGAACCGCAUGGUUCAAUAGUGAAAUACGGUUUUGCUGUCACUUAUAGAUGGAUCCGCGCCGCAUUAGCUAGUUGGUAAGGUAACGGCUUACCAAGGCAACGAUGCGUAGCCGACCGGAGAGGGUGAGCGGCCACACUGGAACUGAGACACGGUCCAGACGCCCACGGGAGCCAGCCGUAGGGAAUCUUCCGGCAUGGGCGAAAGCCUGACGGAGCAACGCCGCGUGCGUGAUGAAGGUCUUCGGAUCGUAAAACUCUGUCAUUAGGGAAGAACAAAUGUGUAAGUAACUAUGCACGUCUUGACGGUACCUAAUCAGAAAGCCACGGCUAACUACGUG
rnacentral:rRNA from 1 species